UCUUGCAUGUUUUCUGCUCCAUCUUCGGGUCAAGAACACGCUGGUUAAUAGCCAAUUAUUUCAUACCCUAAGGAAGUUUUAGGAAAGAAGUUCCUGGGAAGAAUCAAGUUGCUCCAUAAAAUGAGACUAAUAUUCAGCAGAGACACUUUGGAAAGCUCUGCUUAUGCUCCCAGAGAGAGGAGGAUCUUCUCUGCUUUAUCUUCAGAGUGCUUCAGUAAGAGAAAUUGCUUGUUGCGACUCCAGUUUCCAGUCAACUGCAGACAUUUUUAAAACAUAGAUCUUCA